rnacentral:lncRNA from 1 species
CUUGCAGAAGCACCAUUUUCCAUUGAGAAGGUGGUUAUUGGCUUGCUAUUAAUCUCUGGUUCCAUCUUAGUCCCUGCACACCCUAGGAUUCAAGGACUCAAGUAAGUUGGGGAGGGGAACAUCUUUUCACCCCUGGAAAACCUUGUCUCCUCCCAAGCCCUGGGAGGGGAGAACUGCUGCUAAUGAGAUGCUGGUAGUUAGUCUUGUAAUUUUUACAGUAUUAUCUGCAGAAUGAAUGACUACCAGCAGGUACUCUGAAUCUCUUUUCUUUCUAAUAAGAUGUAAUCAACGAACCAGAUUGUGGCCUUGGAGCUGACCAAAGGAUCAGCUAAAGGAAUUGGACACAUCCUGAGCUAGUUAACACAUGGGUAUUGUCGGUCUAAGAUGCUCUUUAGGGGCUAGUGACUCAUUCAUGAUGUGCAGGAAAUGGCACAGACACCUCCAUGACCACAGAAGGUUUCUACAGGC